rnacentral:rRNA from 1 species
UACGUAGGGGGCGAGCGUUGUCCGGAUUUAUUGGGCGUAAAGAGCUCGUAGGCGGUUCGAUAAGUCGGACGUGAAAUCUCCACGCUCAACGUGGAGGGGCCGUUCGGUACUGUCGUGACUCGAGUCCGGUAGGGGAGUGUGGAAUUCCCGGUGUAGCGGUGAAAUGCGCAGAGAUCGGGAGGAACACCCGUAGCGAAGGCGGCACUCUGGGCCGGUACUGACGCUGAGGAGCGAAAGCGUGGGGAGCAAACAGG